AUUUUACUGCCACCGGGUAGUAUCACAAAACAUUCGCCGUGCGUCGUUAGGUCUUUGAAGACGCUCGGACGGGUGUUUUUUUAUU
rnacentral:ncRNA from 1 species